rnacentral:misc_RNA from 1 species
AACUUUUAGCAACGGAUCACUUGGCUCUCGCAUCGAUGAAGAACGCAGCGAAAUGCGAUAAGUGAUGUGAAUUGCAGAAUUCAGUGAAUCAUCGAAUCUUUGAACGCACCUUGCACCCUUUGGAAUUCCGAAGGGUAUGCUCGUUUGAGUGUCAUUGUACUCUCACACUCUCUGAUCCUUUGGAUUCGGGGAGCGGUGGACUUGGGUGUUUGCUGCUUUUCCUUGUGGCUCACCUCAAAUUCGUUAGUGCACCUCCUGGUUGGACAUAGUACGGCGUGAUAAGUGUCUUCGCCGGCGCCUCGCAAGAGGGUGGCCGAUCGAGAGCUCUGUGCUUUCAAACCGUCUUCGGACAACAUCUGACAACUUGACCUCAAAUCGAGUAGGACUACCCGCUGAACUUAAGCAUAUCAAUAAGCGGAGGCU